GACGAACGCUGGCGGCGUGCUUAACACAUGCAAGUCGAACGGAAAGGCCCUGCUUGCAGGGUACUCGAGUGGCGAACGGGUGAGUAACACGUGGGUGAUCUGCCCUGCACUUCGGGAUAAGCCUGGGAAACUGGGUCUAAUACCGGAUAGGAGCCAUUUUUAGUGUGAUGGUUGGAAAGUUUUUUCGGUGUAGGAUGAGCUCGCGGCCUAUCAGCUUGUUGGUGGGGUAAUGGCCUACCAAGGCGGCGACGGGUAGCCGGCCUGAGAGGGUGGACGGCCAACAGGGGGAAGGGGAGACGGCCGAGCCCCCGACGGGGGGAAGAGGGGGGAAAUUUUGAAAAAGGGGGAACGGCUGGGGGCAGCGGGCCCGGGGGGGGGAUGACGGUCUUGGGGUUUAAAACCCUUUCCGCGGGGGACAAAGCUUUUUGUGAGGGUACAUAAAAAAGAAGCCCCGGCAAACUACGUG
rnacentral:rRNA from 1 species